rnacentral:rRNA from 1 species
UACGUAGGGACCAAGCGUUGUCCGGAAUCAUUGGGCGUAAAGCGCGCGUAGGUGGCCAUUUAAGUCCGCUGUGAAAGUCAGAGGCUCAACCUUUGAAAGCCGGUGGAUACUGGAUGGCUAGAGUACGGAAGAGGCGAGUGGAAUUCCUGGUGUAGCGGUGGAAUGCGCAGAUAUCAGGAGGAACACCUGUGGCGAAAGCGGCUCACUGGACCACAACUGACGCUGAGGCGCGAAAGCUAGGGGAGCAAACAGG